UACAGAGGUCUCGAGCGUUGUUCGGAUUCAUUGGGCGUAAAGGGUGCGUAGGCGGCGUGGCAAGUCUGAUGUGAAAUCCCGGGGCUUAACCUCGGAACUGCAUUGGAUACUGCCAUGCUAGAGUACUGGAGAGGAGACUGGAAUUUACGGUGUAGCAGUGAAAUGCGUAGAUAUCGUAAGGAAGACCAGUGGCGAAGGCGAGUCUCUGGACAGUUACUGACGCUGAGGCACGAAGGCCAGGGGAGCAAACGGG
rnacentral:rRNA from 1 species